GAGCGCCGUGCACAGCGGCACGACAGCGCAGCUCCUCUUCCGAUUCAGUUUCAGUUUGUCACUCCGCGCCCCCUGCGCGAGCGGCGAUGGGGAACAACCGGCCGCGGCGCAGCUCGGUGCUCCGCCCCCGCCACAGCAGCGCGAGCAGCGCGAACAGCGCCAGGCGGACUCCCGCUCCGACAGCGCGGCCCCGCCGCCACAGCUUAAACCGAAACACCACCACUGCCGUGCAGGCCUUUGUGCGCGGACUGAGGCACCCGGACGGCCGGGAGGGCGGGAACCACCCCUGCGGGACGGCUGUGCGUUGGGAGUACGGGCCGCGACCACGGGCGGGGUGCUCACCGGAGUGAGGGACUCCAUAUUCAAAUCUUAAACUCCACAAAAGCCAUCGAGCCUCUCAACGGCCGCCUGCAAUCUGCUCAGCUCACACUUAUGGCCUCUGGAUUUUUAUCUACUUUCCUGAUACGCGGCGGGGGCGGGUGAGACUGACUAGAAAAAGUCAAGAAAACCCAGGGGGCAACGUCACCUGCUGAUGAAUCAUUAGAGAAACGCGAUCGGCCUUUUGCUACCAGUGCCACAAGGAGAGUCUCAAUGCAGAACUGCUCAGCAAAAGCAACAAAUGAGUCUUUAAAAACUCCAAACACCAAAACUAACAAAGCAAGCCCAAAACCCAAAGUGAGACAGGAGGAGGAGGAGGAGACAACGGUCCUGCAAGACAUCCACAGUGGUGAUCAAUCUCUCCUUCUCUCUCCACCCUCCCUCUCUCUCCUUCUCAUUAAAUGAGUUAAACAUUAUAAUAAAGUUUUGGUUCUUUCCUGA